UAGCAAAUUGUCGGAAUAGAAUCGAGAACAAUAUUGCUCAAUGUUGGGCUGGAGUGCAGGAUCAUUAAUUUGUCGUAAAUAUUGAAUUUUCAGGCGGACAACAGUUUUUUGCAUCUCUACCAUGUAACAGGCCCGAUAACCUAUUUAAUCAUUAGAGAUUGAACUCGAAAAUCUUGAUCAACUUACCAUCAAUAGCACUAUCAAGCAACUGAAUGACAAACAUUCGUGAAGGCUGCAAAAGGUCAAGAUGUUUAAUCUGCAAAGAAGCAAAUGCAUGAAAUGCUAAUGCAAGUAAUGGUUUGUUAUCCGCUGCAAUUAUGUCAGGGAUUAGUGAAUCUAAUAGAUCGAUAGCUGUAAAACAAUCCAGUUCCCCAAUCAAGCACAAAGUGCAUAAUCCUCUCAGAAGAUACAAUCUUAAAUAGUUUGAUGAGGCCAUUUGAAUUAUUUCCAGCAAUUCAAAAACAGCUCGAUUUGACAUUUCAGUCCUCUAAACACUCACAUUAGCAUAAGCCUAAAAUCAGCCUUCACCUUACCAUAUAAAUGUCAACCUUUAAAAACAUCAACUGCAGCACCCAUUCAAUCGCCAGUUUUUCCGGUUCUUCCAAUAAUUUAUCAAUUCCUUCAAUGGCCUAGUAACACGUU